GUGGGGAAUAUUGGACAAUGGGCGAAAGCCUGAUCCAGCAAUGCCGCGUGAGUGAUGAAGGCCUUAGGGUUGUAAAGCUCUUUCGGGUGGGACGAUGAUGACGGUACCACCAGAAGAAGCCCCGGCUAACUUCGUGCCAGCAGCCGCGGUAAUACGAAGGGGGCUAGCGUUGUUCGGAAUUACUGGGCGUAAAGCGCACGCAGGCGGCUCGUUAAAUUAGAAGUGAAAGCCUUGGGCUUAACCUGAGAAUUGCUUUUAAGACUGGCGAGCUAGAAUCCAGAAGAGGGUAGUGGAAUUCCGAGUGUAGAGGUGAAAUUCGUAGAUAUUCGGAAGAACACCAGUGGCGAAGGCGACUACCUGGUCUGGCAUUGACGCUCAUGUGCGAAAGCGUGGGGAGCAAACAGGAUUAGAUACCCUUGUAGUCC
rnacentral:rRNA from 1 species